rnacentral:rRNA from 1 species
UACGUAGGGGGCAAGCGUUGUCCGGAUUUAUUGGGCGUAAAGAGCGUGUAGGCGGUCAGGUAGGUCCGUUGUGAAAACUCGAGGCUCAACCUCGAGACGCCGAUGGAAACCAUCUGACUAGAGUCCGGAAGGAGGAGAGUGGAAUUCCUGGUGUAGCGGUGAAAUGCGUAGAUAUCAGGGAGGAACACCUGUGGCGAAAGCGGCUCACUGGACCAUAACUGACGCUGAUGCACGAAAGCUAGGGGAGCAAACAGG